CCCUAACCUCAUUCUUGGGAGAAACUCAUGGUCCAUUGGAGAGAAAGGAACCGUGAGAUUCAAUUUCUAAUCAUGUUCCCGAUUUUCGUCGUACUGAUCGUCUGAUCGCAUAAACCUUAAUAAAUCGAGUUAGAGUUGAUAUUAUGUCAGUGGUGUUGCGCAGCUUUGCAUCUUUUGCAAGUCACUGGUGGUCAACUUGGUUUAGCAGUCGUGGCAUGUUGUGUAAUAAUUUAAUCUUUAAUCUUCCGUUGGAUAAAUGUUAAGUUUUUUUAAAUGUAAUAGAUUUUAAUUGUGCUUUUAAGCUAAAAAGAAAAAGGAAAAUUUCAGCA